GGCAUAGCUCAGUCAGAAGAGCACGAGACUCAUCAUCUCAGGGUCAUGGAUUCGAGAGCCCCACAUUGAGCCA